AAUACAUUUACACUAAUUAUAUAGAUGUAACACAUAUAAUUGAGGAACAAAGAUGUGACUAGAGGUUAUCACAGCAAGCGGACCCCAACGGUACAAAGGAACUCUGACUUUGGGGACCCAGCACACAAGGUUCUGUCUCUCACAGAUGAAGAGUACCUAUGAAAAAAUGACUGACCUCUACAUGCUCUAGAAGUGAGAAGAAUAAUCAGAAGAGUUGUCCAAGAGCCAAAGACUAGUGAAGAGCUUCAAAAAGACCUGGAAUUAGCAGCUCACCUUUGUCCUGUGUUUGCAAGACAAGCAAUACAAGUCUAUGGAAGAUCUGUCCACCAGCUCUGGGAGAACUACAAAUAUACAGAUGAAGCCUACAGAGCAGAAAUCUGCUCAAAAAUACCAUAUACAAGUUAUGUAAUAGGUAAAUAAUUUUUACACUUCUCUAACUCUAAGGCCCCAUUCACAAAGCAAAAUUUCUGGGUGGAAAAAUUCUAGUGGGACAUUUCGCAGGCAAUAGACGCCACCAGAACAAAGGUAGAGGUAGAGUGGCACUGUUGCCCAUGGCAACCAGAUUGCUUUA